rnacentral:rRNA from 1 species
CAAUAGCGUAUAUUAAAGUUGUUGCAGUUAAAAAGCUCGUAGUUGGAUCUCGGGUCCAGGCUGGAGGUCCACCUCGCGGUGGUUACUUCUCGUCCUGACCUACCAUCGGGUUUUCCCUUGGUGCUCUUGACUGAGUGUCUCGGGUGGCCAGAACGUUUACUUUGAAAAAUUAGAGUGUUCAAAGCAGGCGCGUCGCCUGAAUAAUGGUGCAUGGAAUAAUAAGAUAGGACCUCGGUUCUAUUUUGUUGGUUUCUAGAGCUGAGGUAAUGAUUAAUAGGGAUAGUUGGGGGCGAUUCGUAUUUAACUUGUCAGAGGUGAAAUUACUUGGAUUUGUUUAAAGAACGGACUACUGCGAAAGACAUUUGUCCAAGGAAUGUUUUCUAUUGAUCAAGAACGAAAGUUAAGGGG